rnacentral:rRNA from 1 species
UACGGGGGGGGUAAGCGUUGUUCGGAAUUACUGGGCGUAAAGGGCUCGUAGGCGGCCAACUAAGUCAGACGUGAAAUCCCUCAGCUUAACUGGGGAACUGCGUCUGAUACUGGAUGGCUUGGAUUCGGGAGAGGAAUGCGGAAUUCCAGGUGUAGCGGUGAAAUGCGUAGAUAUCUGGAGGAACACCGGUGGCGAAGGCGGCAUUCUGGACCGACAUUGACACUGAGGAGCGAAAGCCAGGGGAGCAAACGGG